rnacentral:lncRNA from 13 species
GUCACUAAUAUGUGGCAGUGAAGUUGUUCUCUGCUCAGAUGACAGAGACAGGAGAUACAGGAGUCCAUGCUGUUCCAAGUCGGUUACCUUGACUCUCCUCUAUGCACAGCAGUCUGGGGACUUCUUGCAGGGCAAUUCCACAGCCAGAGGGUGGUCAAGACAUCUUCUGCAACUUCAUCUUCAGUGUGUCAGCUCUGCUGCACCUGGGAGCUAAAGGUAUGGCACCGCACUCCUAUUAGUUAAUGUGUAAUUAAACAUAGAUGUAUGCUCAUGUAUGUGUUUCUUAAAGUGGCAAUCAGCAGCCGCCGUUUUGGUAAAACGCUGAGGGAUGGGGCCAGAGAAAUGUAACCACUCUCAAAUUCAUACACAGAGCUAUUGAUGCAAGGACUGACCAUCGCGCCUCCUUCCAAGACCCCAUUGGAGGAGAUGACCCAAGGUUCCUCGCCUCAGACCUCCUCGAAUGGGUUUUGAGAAGGGUGCGUGUAGAGAGGAAGUGAGGAGUUGAACAGAAAUUAAUUGGGACAGAGCUCAGGCCAUUGUUUUAGGUGGAUUCUAUGUUGAAUGAUACAUUUAUUAUCUGUUUGCACUUAUGUCUUUGUUCUACUUGUGCUCUUUCCACAGAUGGCUCUGGCUUGCUGAUAACACCUGAUCCGAUUAUACUCCCGAUUGCGAUUUGACUCCUGUAUUACUGACUGUAUACAAUAAAACCUCCAGUGCCAAAUUGAAAUCAUUUGAGAUUGUGUAAUUAAUAGACAAUGGUAGUUCCCAAUGAGACAAUUACUAUAAAAUCCAUCCUCACCUCCUCGAUCACUGCAAUGGAUUGUGCAGGUCUGCUUAGAGGAUCAUUGGCUGCCACCUGCCCUCCAUCGAGGCCUUGCACGCUCCUCACCAACUGGCCACCUGGUCCACGAUGAUCCUCUCAUCCAUGGACUUUGCACUCUGCACUACUAAUCCCAGAACUGCACAAUGUCUCUUUGCACAUCUCUUACAUGCAUCAUUUAGCUUAUAGUGUUCAUAUAGUGUACAUACAGUAUGUGGAUCUGUGGAAAUUCUGCAUCUAUAUA